rnacentral:lncRNA from 1 species
AGUGGCCUUUCUCAUGACAAAAAGCACAUUCAUCUUUCCCGAGCCUGGACUUUGACUUUGAUCUCCCCUUUUGAGUUUUCUUCCGAGUGUAUGAACGACCUCGGACUACUAAAGCUUCUGUAUCUCUGAUUGAGUUUUUCUGUUUGUCCUUCUUUCUCUGUUCAUAACUGUAUAAGGCCGCACAGACUUCGCUCAGAGAUAUAUCACUCCUGCCAUGAAGUAGAGUAGUUUCUAGGAACUCAAAC